UACGUAGGGUGCAAGCGUUGUCCGGAAUUAUUGGGCGUAAAGAGCUUGUAGGCGGUUUGUCGCGUCUGCUGUGAAAUUUCGGGGCUCAACCCCGAACUUGCAGUGGGUACGGGCAGACUAGAGUGUGGUAGGGGAGACUGGAAUUCCUGGUGUAGCGGUGAAAUGCGCAGAUAUCAGGAGGAACACCGAUGGCGAAGGCAGGUCUCUGGGCCAUAACUGACGCUGAGGAGCGAAAGCGUGGGGGAGCGAACAGG
rnacentral:rRNA from 1 species